rnacentral:rRNA from 1 species
UCCUACGGGCGGCAGCAGUGGGGAAUUUUGGACAAUGGGGGCAACCCUGAUCCAGCCAUGCCGCGUGUGUGAAGAAGGCCUUCGGGUUGUAAAGCACUUUCGGACGGAACGAAAUCGCGCGGGUGAAUAUCCCGCGUGGAUGACGGUACUGUAAGAAGAAGCACCGGCUAACUACGUGCCAGCAGCCGCGGUAAUACGUAGGGUGCGAGCGUUAAUCGGAAUUACUGGGCGUAAAGCGUGCGCAGGCGGCUUCGCAAGUCAGACGUGAAAUCCACGGGCUUAACCUGGGAAUGGCGUUUGAAACUACGGAGCUGGAGUGUGGCAGAGGGAGGUAGAAUUCCACGGGUAGCGGUGAAAUGCGUAGAUAUGUGGAGGAAUACCGAUGGCGAAGGCAGCCUCCUGGGCCAACACUGACGCUCAUGCACGAAAGCGUGGGGAGCAAACAGGAUUAGAUACCCCAGUAGUC